rnacentral:rRNA from 1 species
AUACGGAGGGUGCAAGCGUUACUCGGAAUCACUGGGCGUAAAGCGCGCGCAGGCGGGCUGAUAAGUUGGAUGUGAAAGCCUACGGCUCAACCGUAGAACUGCAUCCAAAACUGUCAGUCUAGAGUCUGGGAGGGGAAGAUGGAAUUAGUUGUGUAGGGGUAAAAUCCGUAGAGAUAACUAGGAAUACCAAAAGCGAAGGCGAUCUUCUGGAACAGUACUGACGCUGAGGCGCGAAAGCGUGGGGAGUAAACAGGAUUAGAAACCCUAGUAGUCC